GACGAACGCUGGCGGCGUGCCUAAUACAUGCAAGUCGAACGCAGUGGGGACGGGUGAGUAACACGUGGGUAACCUCCCAUCAGAGGGGAUAACCCUUGGCAACAGGUGCUAAACCGAUACUGAUGGAUGGACCCGCGGUGCAUUAGCUAGGCGGUGGGGUAACGGCUCACCAAGGCCACGAUGCAUAGCCGACCGGAGAGGGUGAACGGCCACACUGGGACGGAGACACGGCCCAGACUCCUACGGGAGGCAGCAGGAGGGAAUCUUCGGCAAUGGACGAAAGUCUGACCGAGCAACGCCGCGUGAGUGAAGAAGGUUUUCGGAUCGUAAAACUAUGUUGUUAGAGAAGCGGUAUCUAACCAGAAAGCCACGGCUAACUACGUGCCAGCAGCCGCGGUAAUUC
rnacentral:rRNA from 1 species